rnacentral:rRNA from 1 species
AACGAACGCUGGCGGCAUGCCUAACACAUGCAAGUCGAACGAGACCUUCGGGUCUUGUGGCGCACGGGUGCGUAACGCGUGGGAACCUUCCCUUAGGUUCGGAAUAACUCCCCGAAUGGGGUGCUAAUACCGGAUAAUGUCUUCGGACCAAAGAUUUAUCGCCUUUGGAUGGGCCCGCGUUGGAUUAGCUAGUUGGUAGGGUAAAAGCCUACCAAGGCGACGAUCCAUAGCUGGUCUGAGAGGAUGAUCAGCCACACUGGGACUGAGACACGGCCCAGACUCCGACGGGAGGCAGCAGUGGGGAAUAUUGGACAAGGGGGGAAAGCCUGAUCAAGCAAUGCCGCGUGAGUGAUGAAGGCCUUAGGGUUGUAAAGCUCUUGUACCCGGGAUGAUAAUGACAGUACCGGGAGAAUAAGCGCCGGCUAACUCCGUG